rnacentral:piRNA from 1 species
CCCGUGAGAGGGUCAUUGCGGUA